rnacentral:lncRNA from 1 species
CUCUAAAUUACUUAUGGUACCUUUUAUAUUGAAUUCAUAUACCUCUUUUUAUGACUUGUGAAUUUUAAAAUCUCCAUCUUGCUUGGUCUAGCACCCAAAAUUGUGCACACCCACACCACACCUGCAUGUGCUAGUCAAUGACAAAUCAGAAAUAACUAACUGCCCACCUGGGCUGUCCUAACCCAAGCUUGAGCCACCAUUGGCACUUGUGAGGCACAGGAAGUGAAGUAGGGAACAGUCUCUUGAAUUCGCUUACUUCCUGUGGACAGAGCUAGAGGCCAGUUUGUGCUAGGAACUGGAGCAAAGAAGAGGCCUGAAGACAGCUUUCCUUCAGAUCAGUCAGAUGUGGCGGUCAUAUCGCCAGUAUUUAUCAGUGCUACCUAUGAUAGAAUAAUGAAUUGGAAGGACAAAACUAUUAUCAGCAAAAAAAAAAUAAAUGGUGCUGAGAUAAUCCUAAAGGGAUUAUGAUUUUAAAAAAUGCUAUGCAUAACCAAAAAAGAGAAGCUACUUCAAAGGAAAGAAGAUACAAGGCAGUUCAUUGUGUGUAUAGAUCAACAAACAGCCUGAGGAAUGGACUACUUAGAAGGGGAUUUCAAUCUGCAGCAAAGUAAUUUACUUUUGAUGCUAGAAGAAAUAGGAAAACACUGAUUAUUGAAUUGGUGUGUGGUAU